ACUUAAGUACCUUAUCUAUCUACAGAUAGAAAAGUUGCUUUUUAGACUUUGUGUCUACUUUUCUCAACUAAACGAAAUUUUUGCUAUGGCCGGCAUCUUUGAUGCUGGAGUCGUAGUGUAAUUGAAAUUUCAUUUGGGUUGCAACAGUUUGGAAGCAAGUGCUGUGUGUCCUAGUCUAAGGGUUUCGUGUUCCGUCACGAGAUUCCAUUCUACAAACGCCUUACUCGAGGUUCCGUCUCGUGUUUGUGUGGAAGCAAAGUUCUGUCUUUGUGGAAACCAGUAACUGUUCCUAAUGGCCUGCAACCGUGUGACACUUGCCG
rfam:Human coronavirus 229E, complete genome.